GCUUCGGCAUCAUUGAAAAAAUGUAGUCGGAACGGGAUUCAGGGCCCUGCCAUUUUUUAUUAAUUAGGCGGUGGCUUUGAUAAUCUCUCUCUCUCUCUCUCUCUUUCUCUUUCUCUUCUUGCCUUUACUUAUCGUUAAUUCGGUGUAUCAGUGUUACUUAUGCACAGCUAGUUGCACGCGUUAAUUUUUGUAUUCUUAAUUAUUACAUAUUAUCCGUAUGUGUUUUAUUAUACCGCCACUUUAGAACUUUCGCGUUUCCUCCGCGAUAUAAUAUAAUACUUAAAGCUGAAGUAUAUUUAAGAAAUGCUAGUCAUUGCGUGGAUACGCUAUGAUGGCAGAGAAUUCUUUGCGCUAUAAUAAAUUAUAAUUGUUAUAUAAAAUAUUAAUUACGGAUUUGCGGUAUUUAUGGAGUUCAGUUGUUUUUUCGGAAUCUGUUCGUGUGGAUGAAACUGAAAAAUGCCAGCUGAUACAUACACAAAGGCUGAACCCGAGCUUAAGCAGGAGCUGAAGAGGAUUGCUGAAGCCAUUGUCGCUCCCGGCAAGGGUAUUUUGGCUGCUGACGAGUCCACGGGCACCAUUGGAAAGCGUCUUCAGAGCAUCAACUGCGAAAACACCGAAGAUAAUCGUCGUGCCUAUCGUCAGCUUUUGUUCACCACUGAUAAGGACGUCAUCAGUCAGCACAUCUCCGGCGUGAUCCUCUACCACGAGACCCUCUAUCAGAAGGCUGAUGAUGGCACGCCGUUCGUUGAGUUGCUGAGGCAGCGUAACAUCAUCCCCGGCAUCAAGGUCGAUCUUGGGGUCGUGCCUCUCUUCGGCACCGAUGACGAAUGCACCACCCAGGGUCUGGAUAACCUCCAAGCUCGUUGCGUCCAGUACAAGAAGGACGGAUGUGACUUUGCCAAGUGGAGAUGCGUGUUAAAGAUUGGCAAAGACAAGCCCAGCAAGCUUGCUAUUUUGGAGAACGCCAAUGUCCUUGCACGUUACGCUUCCAUCUGCCAGAGCGCGAGAAUCGUUCCCAUCGUCGAGCCUGAGAUCCUGCCCGAUGGUGAUCAUGAUCUUGCACGUUGCCAACAGGUCACCGAGGAAGUCCUUGCAGCAGUCUACAAGGCUCUUAGCGACCAUAACGUCUACCUCGAGGGAACUCUCCUGAAGCCAAACAUGGUAACCCCUGGACAAAGUGCCCCAAAGGCUACUCCUCAGGAAAUUGCUGCGGCAACCGUGACAGCUCUGUCCCGUACUGUACCACCAGCAGUAACUGGAGUUACCUUCCUCAGCGGAGGACAAUCCGAGGAAGAGGCAUCCGUUAACCUGGACGCCAUUAACAAGUUCCCUGGAAAGAAACCCUGGGCUCUGACCUUCAGCUACGGACGUGCUCUCCAGGCUUCUACCAUCCGUGCAUGGGGCGGUAAGCCUGAUCAGGUCGCUGCUGGUCAGGCGGAGCUUAUCAAGAGAGCCAAGGCAAAUGGAGCAGCUUGUCAAGGCAAAUACGUCGCUGGCAGCUACUCCAGUGCUGCUGGAAAUAUUUCAAAUUUUGUGAAAACUCACUCCUACUAAAAACUGUUAUUUCAUUCUCUCCCUCACACUUACUGUAUCUGUAUCUCCUAAUAACUGACGCCAACAGCGAUGCCGCUCUUGGAAAAUAUGCAGGUGGCGUCGUGGGAGCUGCAGGCGACGCCGGACUCUUCGUUGCGAACCACGCAUACUAAAUUUUCAAGAUAUAAGUCUUUGUUUCUCCUUCCGUGUCACAUAAUUUUUUCAAGAAAUUGAAAAAUCCAACGCAAACCUCGGUCGUCAUUCACCCAAGAUCCAUCAAUCGUCGUGAUAGGAGAAGUGAGAAAACAUAAUGAUAAGGAAGAAACACGUUUUUAAUAAGAUUUUGAGUGUAAGAAUCUACAGAGGGGGAUGAGGAAGUAUUAGAAGAUGAGGAAGAAGAAGAAAAAUUAGGGAAACAAAAAAAAGUCAACAGGUGAUUGAUUUUACAUGAAAUCCGUUGUUGCAAUUUACAACGAGUGGUCUCGAUCUUUGCGCGCGAAUUAGAUCAAUCAAUCCUGAUCAUGUGAUCUCUUCUAAUGUUCCUACUUUAUAAUCGGAAGGAAUUAAGACAAGAGAAGCAAAAGAAGGUUUCUGUGACGAGGAGUGGAGGAGAAAUAGAGAUUUUUGAAAAAACGACGAUUCGUGUGAUCGAUGAAAAUUAAUUAUUCAUCCCUAGAUCACAUUCAAUCGGAUCUGAUCGUCAACGAAUCAUCUUGCCAAGAUCCUUCGUUUCUUUUGCGAUUAUCGAAAAUCGUUAAACCAGAAAUCAAUUUUUCCGUAAAAUAAUAAGAGAAUCAUGGCAGAUAAAAAUGAAACGAAAAUAUCAAAAGUGAUAGGAAAUUCAUUGAAUUUUUAAUUUCCACACUCGCCACUCUGUUCUACCGGUUGAGAAUUGAUUGAGCUGGCUACACCAUUUAACAUAAGUAACUAUGGAAUAUACGUUAUGUGGCAAUCAUCGCGAAACAUAAGAAUUGGACAGAAAUUCGUUGCGUAACGAUCACGAUAGAUUCAGACUGACGAAUGGUUCCGUUAAUUAUUAAAAUGAUGUGAAAAAGAAAACUCCAAUCGUUGUAAGCAGAUUAAACGCGAAACUCAAAUUGCAACUUAUUAAUGUGUAAACACUUGCGAUUAAAUCGGAUUAAUGUGUAUUAUGUAUAUUAUAUAUAUAUUAUUAUAUAUAUAUUAAUAUAUUAUUGUCAAUGUCGUUAUUGUAUUCUACGUGUAUAAAACAAAUUGAAAAAAAAAACAAAAGUCAUAUUAAAUGUUGUUUGUUAGAGCCGACGAGUCGAAACUACUACGAGGUCAUACUAUUACAUCACACUUAUACGAUAUGUGUAUCUUAUAUAGUUAUUAAGUAACGUAUUUGAAGAUAAAGAAAAAAAGUGUCUCGUACAUCGAUGUUAUAUCUAAUAUUUUCAUUGUAAUUUAGGUCACCAAAUACACUGUGGAGGGUAAAAA